AUUGAACGCUGGCGGCAUGCCUUACACAUGCAAGUCGAACGGCAGCACGGGGCAACCUGGUGGCGAGUGGCGAAGGGGUGAGAAAUGCAUCGGAACGUACCUUUCAGUGGGGGAUAACGUAGCGAAAGUUACGCUAAUACCGCAUAUUCUGUGAGCAGGAAAGCAGGGGAUCGCAAGACCUUGCGCUGAUGGAGCGGCCGAUGUCAGAUUAGCUAGUUGGUGAGGUAAAGGCUCACCAAGGCGACGAUCUGUAGCGGGUCUGAGAGGAUGAUCCGCCACACUGGAACUGAGACACGGUCCAGACUCCUACGGGAGGCAGCAGUGGGGAAUUUUGGACAAUGGGGGCAACCCUGAUCCAGCCAUGCCGCGUGAGUGAAGAAGGCCUUCGGGUUGUAAAGCUCUUUCGGCCGGGAAGAAAUCGCACGGGCUAAUACCCUGUGUGGAUGACGGUACCGGAAUAAGAAGCAUCGGCUAACUACGUGCCAGCCGCCGCAGUAAUAC
rnacentral:rRNA from 1 species